UGAAGACCCAAGCUUUCUGAACUUCAUUGAGCCAGAAAGAUGUGUUUUAAUUCAUGGAGUUUAUGGAAUGACUACAGCAUAGACUCUCAGAAGGUGAUGGAUGGGAUAUUCUGAAAGUUGGAAGGCAGGCUUUGAGCCACAGAGAGCCACUGCAACAUUUGAAGAUUCUGGUGAUGAUGCUGACUGCCUGGCCACCUAAGAGGAAGAAAGGUUUGCCAACCCUUCUCUCAUGCUCACCGUCCAUCUUCCAUCACCUUUCCCCCUUUUAAUGCCCUUUCCCUGCUUUUUUUAUCCAAU
rnacentral:lncRNA from 1 species